GACGAACGCUGGCGGCGUGCCUAACACAUGCAAGUCGAACGGAAAGGCCAUGCUCUUGCGGGGCGCACGAGUGGCGAACGGGUGAGUAACACGCGAGUAACCUGCCCUUGACAUUGGGAUAACUUUAGGAAACUGGGGCUCAUACCGGAUAGGAGCUCUUGCUGCACGGUGGGGGAUGGUAAGAUACGGCGGUUGGGGAUGGACUCGCUGGUUAUCGGCUUGUUGGUGAGGUAGUGGCUUACCAGGGCUUUGACGGGUAGCCGGCCUGAGAGGGCGACCGGCCACAUUAGGACUGAGAUACGGCCCAGACUCCUACGGGAGGCAGCAGUGGGGAAUAUUGCACAGUGGGCGGAAGCCUGAGGCAGCAACGCCGCGUGCGGGAUGACGGCCUUCGGGUUAUAAACCACUUUCGCCUGUGACGAAGCGUGAGUGACGGUAAUGGGUAAAGAAGCACCGGCUAACUACGUG
rnacentral:rRNA from 1 species